GCCCUAGUAGCUUAGCCAUAAAGCAUCGGUCUUGUAAUCCGAAGAUCGGAGGUUAGGGUCCUCCCUAGCGCC
rnacentral:tRNA from 1 species